rnacentral:rRNA from 1 species
GCAACUCGACUGCACGAAGCUGGGAUCGCUAGUAAUCGCGGAUCAGCACGCCGCGGUGAAUACGUUCCCGGGCCUUGUACACACCGCCCGCCACACCAUGGAAGUCUGCAAUGCCCGAAGCCGGUGGCCUAACCACUUAUGUGGAAGGAGCCGUCUAAGGCAGGGCAGAUGACUGGGGUGAAGUCGUAACAAGGUAUC